UCUGUCCAGUAAUAAGAAAGUUAGAUUUUUGUGAUAAAGUGCAAAUUUAUUUAUGGUCUAUAAAUUUGAUAUUACGGGCCUGUAUAUUUUGUUAUACAUGCGUUCUGGAAUGCAAGAAAAUCGUGAAAGUUAUGUUUCACGCUUUCUGCUUAGGGUAAAUAUGCAUAUAUAUUGAACGAUUUUAAAUCUUCUUGGGGACUCACAAGACGCACAAGGUCAUUAUGACAGACAAAUUUAUUCUUGUGGUGUAAAUUUUUAAGCUUGCGCAAGCUUCUACUCGGAGGAUUCACCUUCAAUUUUGUAUCACGCAUGUGUUCAACAUUGCGACGAUAGUGGAUAUUGUGACGUAGCGACGCAGUCUUUAAUCUACAUUCUGUAGACAGUACAGAAUCGAUCUUCCUGCUUUGAAUGGGCCACAUCUGGAGAUUGUGACGUAGAGACCCCACAUCCAGUCUUGGAUCUACACUCUGUAGACAGUACAGAAUCGAUUUUCUGCUUAAGAUGGGUCACAUCUCGAGCAUCAGUGUAUUUGUUUUGAGUUAAGCCACCGGGACAAUGUGACAAAGUGCUAUUCGACAGGACACGGAACUUUAAUAUAUUUUGUUUUCCCCUUUUCCUCUCUUCAUUUAUUGCUCAUCAUUUAAUUUCAUUUAUGAAUAGUCAUUUAUUUUUUGUAAAUAUAUAUUUAAAUAGUU